GUCCUUGGUGUUCCCCUGGCUUUUCUCUUCUGAGAGUGAGCAGCCUUUGGAGUGAGCAGCCUUGUAUUGGCCACAAGUGCACUAAAUUUACUGUGAAUCCCAAAGCCUGCAGGGGACUACUUCCCCAAGACCAGCCAGGCCAGCUUCUCUCACCCAGAACCUUUCGAUUUGCCCUGUAUGAAAAGCCACUUUGGAAAGCCCUAUCAGUCAGUCCUAGGUAGCAACCACGGGGGGCAGAUGCUUCCUCCGCAGCUGCUGGGGAGCAGGCCUCUGUGCCCUGCCCACACUGAGCCCCAAACUUUGACCGUCUCUGAUGUCACUGCAUCACACCCAGGAGCUGCACCCGGGGGACCCAGAGGGCAGAGGCAGGACAGGGAUGGCUCUGAAUGAUGCUCCAAGGUAUGUCCUGGGGCAUGUGGGGAAGCACCCCAGUGACCCCCAGCAGCACUGCCCACCAACUGGGUGCUGUGAGCCCUGUUCCCUUUCCUUCCUCUUUCCUCCCACCCACACCAGGUGCUGCAAUCCCACCAGGCUGCCAGAUGUAGCACAGAAAAUACUCUGACAGGAAGGACACAGGCCUAGCAUUCUGGAGAUGUACCGUGUCACCUGGGGCAAGGACUUCUCAUCUCCAGCCUCAGUUUCCCCACGAGUUAAGCAAGAGAGUGACACUACAAAGCCUAGAAGUCCCCCAGCUCUGAUGUUCAAGAAGUAGGCUGGCCCCAGGCCAUCCCACAGAACAGAGAGCUUUUUUUGGAAGGAGUCCCCUGGAUGGUGGGCGACACCUCCAGGAUCCCUGUACUCCAUACCACUGCCCCUCACUGUGUCGCCUGGGGAGUCACAUUCUCCCCUGCUGCCCCUGCAACUCCGCUUUGACUGUUGUCUCCUCCCUGCAACCCCCCCCCCCAUCCUCCUAACCCAGGUCUCCCCAGCCCUCACUGGGGCAACCCUGAGACAAGCCACAGAACCUCUCAUUUGGAAAAAGGGGACAAUGAUUGCCUACCUCCCAAGGGAUCAGAGAGGCCUCUUGGCACAUCACAUGGUCAGGGAGACCACCGUUCUGGCAGGCAGGAGGGCGCCUCCUCUCUCCCCAGUGAGAAGCCCCAUUCCUAUUGUCCUCUCCGCCCCCGCCACAGGGGGGAGGGAGAGAACUGGCUGCCAGGACUGGGUCGCUUGAUUUUGCCCCAACAUUUUGCCUCUGUGGGAAAAAAAACAAAAAUCAGACCAUGAAAUGGGCCUGAAAUUCAGUGUUUACCACGUUUUGUUUUCAAAUGAAAAUGCUUUGUGCAACUGAAGAGUUACAGUGAAGUGUUAACCAGGGGUCCAGGGAGCAAGUGGACGAGAUGGAGAGUGUCUGCAGCCCGCUGGCUGCAGGGAAGGUUUGGGGGCCAUAUCCUCUGAGCACUUAAGAGCCGUCUUUGAGCUCCCUCCCUGCUGAGUGUAGGGGUGGGGAUGGACUGAGCACCCAGCCACCUCUAGGGAUGGUCUCUGUCAGUCAUCCUACUGGGCCUCCAAAGAGAAACUUUGCCAUGGUGGCAGUAUGCUAACCUCCACUGUGAGGGCAUGCCAGACAUGGGGACCGUUGGCCCAAGGAUGCCUGGGGCCUGCCAACUGGGCUGCAAAGGUAGGGAAGCCCACACCCUUAAAAGAACCGGGAUAUUCCAGAGCACAGGAGGCCAGAGCCAGCAAGAGAUGGCCUCUCACCCCAUAGUGGCCUUUUUGGCGGCCAUUGUCCUGACAUCUGUGCAGCAGGGGCUGGGCUAUCCCUCCUGGGUGGCCCUUGGAGGCUCUUCGAGGUCAGCAGGAGACACUGCUGUCUGGGCCAGUGCUGUGAGAAUUAAGUGCUCAGUGGACCUGGGAGCCCAGGAGACAAGAAAGUGUUGUGGUUUUAGUAUGUUCAAAAGGGACAACCGCUUGCAGUCAGUAGAUCUAGCGAUCUAGUUGGGAGAUAAUGGUGUUUACCCCCCAUGAAGUAUUUGAUAGCUCUACUUGUGAAUUUGUAUUUAUUUUGCAUUAUACUUGACACAGAAUUCCUUUUUUUAAAAAACAAAAAUACUAUGUGUGUAUUUUGGAAAAAAAAAACUCAUAGAUGUUAAAAUUUCUGCACAGUUACCAGUUUUUCUCACAACACUGAAUUUGGUAGCUUUUCCCGAAAAAUCUUCACAGUGAUUUUUGUCUGUAUAUAUUUGAGGGCCUUUUUUUUAAAAAAAAAAAAAGAAAGAAAAAAGAAAAAGAAAAGAAAAAUAUGUUUGCCUGAUUUUUUUGAGACAAAAAAAAAAGAGAGAGAGAGAGAGAGAGAGGCAUUUUCAAAAUUUCAGAGCUUUCAGGAGGGCAAUAGAAUAUCAAAGAAAGAUUUCUGGAAGUAUUUUGCAAACCUUCUGGUUGAGCAGCAAGAAAAUAUUUAUGGUGAGAAGUUUUCUUUUUUCUUUUUCCUGUUAUGGUUUUGGAUUUUUUUUUUUUUACUAUGCUUUUGUCCUGUAAAAAGUAUGCAACUGAACUACAUUAAGAAGGAAAUAUUGUCUACAUAGAAUAUUAUAUGAAGUUGGUACAUAAUUCUGAUGAGAAAAAAAAAUCUUUGCAAUUCUCUAAGCCAUGUUAUUGUUAUUCUGUUAUUGUUUUCCAUGGAUGAAAAUAUCAGUAUUAAGUAGCCAGCAUAUUAUUCAAAUGUUUAGACUUAUUAAUAUGUUCUUGUCCUGUAUUUAUACGUAUGUGUAUUUUGGAAAGUAUUCCCUUUUUUAAGGGGAGCUAUUAUUAGAUACAUAUCGAAAAAGGGAACCGUGACCCCUUUGUGCCUCUUCCGCUGAGGAUAACAAGCACAGAGUUGUAAUCUCUCUUCCCACACCUCCUUGCUAGGAGCUUGUCAUUACAGUUUGAUUAAUUUCAUGGGCAGCGCGGGGAAUGGACAGGGGAAGAGGGAAGCAUUUGAUGACCUAGCCCCUCCAGGGUCUGCCACCCCUUGGCCCGGUCCGCAGUGCCCAAGGAGGGAAGAGGAAAAAGCAAGCAAGAGUCCCCAAGGCCCCUCUCUGGAGCUUUCUCAUCUGAGCCGGGUCUCGCCCCAAGCUCUUUGAACUUGGAAAUGUCAACGGAGCCAUUACGCCUGCCCUCCAGCAUCUAAUCAACUUGAAUCUACUCUAAACAAAUAUUUAAUCCAGCCUCACUACAUUCUAGCCCAGUGCAACAACUAACCCUGAAUUGUGGGGUGUUCCAGCCUCCAAAGAGGUGGCUGAGCUCCCGGACCCUGGGGCUGGGAGGCUGGUGGCAGCGGGGAUCUUUGCUCUCAUGGCCAAACUCACUGUUGGACCUCCUCCACCCCCCAGAUGGUGACCCUGUCCGUGUCUGUGUCUGUUCAUGUGUGUGUGUGUGUGUGUCCAGCUAAGAAGACAAACAGAACCCGUGGGCCUGGCUCGAGGGCGCGAGGGCCAGCCCCCCGCUUCCCCCGGGGCCGCCCGCGGGGUGGCAUUCCGUUGUGUGCCUUACUCCUGGAGACUGUACGGCUUGCCUAAGGAAAUGUAGCCUUCCGCGCUGUAUUAAAAGGAUUUUGGAAAGCAAAGAGGCUGGGGGUUUCCUUGUUU
rnacentral:lncRNA from 1 species